rnacentral:rRNA from 1 species
GCUGGCGGCNGGCUUACNCNUGCAAGUCGAGCGAAGCCUUCGGGCUUAGCGGCGGACGGGUGAGUAACGCGUGGGAACGUGCCCUUCACUACGGAAUAGUCCCUGGAAACGGGGUUUAAUACCGUAUACGCCCUUCGGGGGAAAGAUUUAUCGGUGAAGGAUCGGCCCGCGUCUGAUUAGGUAGUUGGUGGGGUAAUGGCCUACCAAGCCGACGAUCAGUAGCUGGUUUGAGAGGAUGAUCAGCCACACUGGGACUGAGACACGGCCCAGACUCCUACGGGAGGCAGCAGUGAGGAAUCUUGGACAAUGGGGGCAACCCUGAUCCAGCCAUGCCGCGUGAACGAUGAAGGCCUUAGGGUUGUAAAGUUCUUUCACCGGAGAAGAUAAUGACGGUAUCCGGAGAAGAAACCCCGGCUAACUCCGUGCCAGCAGCCGCGGUAAUACGGAGGGGGUUAGCGUUGUUCGGAAUUACUGGGCGUAAAGCGCACGUAGGCGGACCAUUAAGUCAGGGGUGAAAUCCCGGGGCUCAACCCCGGAACUGCCUUUGAUACUGGUGGUCUGGAGUUCGAGAGAGGUGAGUGGAAUUCCGAGUGUAGAGGUGAAAUUCGUAGAUAUUCGGAGGAACACCAGUGGCGAAGGCGGCUCACUGGCUCGAUACUGACGCUGANGUGCGAAAGCGUGGGGAGCAACAGGAUUAGAUACCCUGGUAGUCCACGCCGUAAACNAUGAAUGCCAGACGUCGGGNNCAUGCUGUUCGNNGUNCACCUAACGGAUUAAGCAUUCCGCCUGGGGAGUAC